UAAGCAUAGUUUAAACUAAAACAUUAGAAUGUGACCCUAAAAACAGGAGACUCAACCAUCCUUGCCUACC
rnacentral:tRNA from 1 species